GGAUUCAUUUCCUUGGUAACGCAGCUAACGCGUGAAGUUGACCGCCUGGGGAGUACGGCCGCAAGGUUAAAACUCAAAGGAAUUGACGGGGACCCGCACAAGCGGUGGAUGAUGUGGAUUAAUUCGAUGCAACGCGAAAAACCUUACCUACGCUUGACAUGCCAGGAACUUUCCAGAGAUGGAUUGGUGCCCGAAAGGGAACCUGGACACAGGUGCUGCAUGGCUGUCGUCAGCUCGUGUCGUGAGAUGUUGGGUUAAGUCCCGCAACGAGCGCAACCCUUAUCCUUAGUUGCUACGCAAGGGCACUCUAGGGAGACUGCCGGUGACAAACCGGAGGAAGGUGGGGAUGACGUCAAGUCCUCAUGGCCCUUAUGUGUAGGGCUUCACACGUCAUACAAUGGUCGGUACAGAGGGUCGCCAACCCGCGAGGGGGAGCCAAUCCCAGAAAACCGAUCGUAGUCCGGAUUGCACUCUGCAACUCGAGUGCAUGAAGUCGGAAUCGCUAGUAAUCGCGGAUCAGCAUGUCGCGGUGAAUACGUUCCCGGGUCUUGUACACACCGCCCGUCACACCAUGGGAGUGGGUUCUACCAGAAGUAGGUAGCCUAACCGCAAGGAGGGCGCUUACCACGGUAGGGCUCAUGACUGGGGUGAAGUCGUAACAAGGUAGCCGUAUCGGAAGGUGCGGCUGGAUCACCUCCUU
rnacentral:rRNA from 1 species